AGCCUGAUGCAGCAACGCCGCGUGAGGGAUGACGGCCUUCGGGUUGUAAACCUCUUUUAGUAGGGAAGAAGGGCUUCGGCUUGACGGUACCUGCAGAAAAAGCACCGGCUAACUACGUGCCAGCAGCCGCGGUAAUACGUAGGGUGCGAGCGUUGUCCGGAAUUAUUGGGCGUAAAGAGCUCGUAGGCGGUUUGUCACGUCUGCUGUGAAAUCCCGAGGCUCAACCUCGGGCCUGCAGUGGGUACGGGCAGACUGGAGUGCGGUAGGGGAGAAUGGAAUUCCUGGUGUAGCGGUGGAAUGCGCAGAUAUCAGGAGGAACACCGAUGGCGAAGGCAGUUCUCUGGGCCGUAACUGACGCUGAGGAGCGAAAGCGUGGGGAGCGAACAGGAUUAGAUACCCUGGUAGUCCACGCCGUAAACGUUGGGCGCUAGAUGUGGGGACCUUUCCACGGUUUCCGUGUCGUAGCUAACGCAUUAAGCGCCCCGCCUGGGGAGUACGGCCGCAAGGCUAAAACUCAAAGGAAUUGACGGGGGCCCGCACAAGCGGCGGAGCAUGCGGAUUAAUUCGAUGCAACGCGAAGAACCUUACCAAGGCUUGACAUAACCGAGAACGCCGCAGAAAUGUGGAACUCU
rnacentral:rRNA from 1 species